UACGUAGGUGGCAAGCGUUGUCCGGAUUUACUGGGCGUAAAGAGCGCGCAGGCGGUCGUUCAAGUCGAGUGUGAAAGCCCCCGGCUCAACUGGGGAGGGUCAUUCGAUACUGAUCGACUCGAAGGCAGGAGAGGGAAGUGGAAUUCCCGGUGUAGUGGUGAAAUGCGUAGAUAUUCGGAAGAACACCAGUGGCGAAGGCGGCUCACUGGCCCGGUACUGACGCUGAGGUGCGAAAGCGUGGGGAGCAAACAGG
rnacentral:rRNA from 1 species